rnacentral:rRNA from 1 species
UACGUAGGGGGCAAGCGUUGUUCGGAAUUACUGGGCGUAAAGGGCGCGUAGGCGGCAGGCCAAGUCGGGAGUGAAAGCCCGGGGCUCAACCCCGGAAUGUCUUUCGAAACUGGCCAGCUGGAGUGCGGAAGAGGCAACUGGAAUUCCCAGUGUAGCGGUGAAAUGCGUAGAUAUUGGGAAGAACACCUGAGGCGAAGGCGGGUCUCUGGGCCGAUACUGACGCUGAGGAGCGAAAGCGUGGGGAGCGAACAGG